UCCCGACGUUUCCCUGAACAGGAAACACCUGACCAGGGCCUGAAUAGGCCCCCUCGCCCUCGGCCCGUACACCCCGCGGCCCGCUACCCCAUCCCGCCGCGCCCAGGCCGACGCCGCUCGCCCCUGACCCGGAUCAGCGAGUCCAGCGCCGGGCGGUCCAGACACGUGAAGUUCUGCAACAGCUCCCACUUGUCGCGCUGGAAGCUGCGGCUGGAGUCCUGCGCCGCGCGGCCCUCCAGCGUCCAGAACACGCCGGUGCCCAGCGCCAGAACGGGAAGUAAGAAGACAAGUACACCGAGCCUAUGAUGGUCAUGUGUUCCUGUCACUCUGGACUUGUGGUUCCCAGCUCUGCUACACAACGGAAAUCUCUGGAGAAUCUCUAGACAUCCUGGUGCCCAGACCACAGCCCAGAACCAUUCAGUCAGGAUCACUGGGACAAGGAAACUGAGAAUGAGACAAGAUCACAGCAGAGGUGGGGCUGUCUCAGGCUUAAGAAAG